AAGGGCUUUACCGGUGUGUGGGGGCCACAAUUCAGACAGUAUCUGGCCACAGACCCUAGUCUAACCUCCCCCCAGAGUAGGCCCCUCACUUGCUCUGCCCUAUCUUUGCAUCCUGCUCAUCAAAUCAAAGCAGGGCAGUCCCAACUUGCCACCCUCCUGCUGUUUGCUAGCUCCCUCCCCGAAAAGCAAGCCUUAAGAAGCCCAAGAUUCUCCUAGCGAGCCCGUUUCAAAUGCUGAUUCCCAGGCCUCGUCACCAGAAGGCCCACUCAGAGGGGACUGGUGUGGAAUCCCAGAAGCAGCAUUGUUAAGCAGCCGCCCAGUGACCUCGAUCCUGUUUUAGGAGCCUCCUGGAUGCAGCAUGGAAGUCCGAGAUGACGCCCUGACCUGGGGCAGGGAGGGACAGCCAGGGACAGCCAGUGCCAUCCCGGAGGGGCCGUAGCUGCCCACAGCUGCCCGCAGCCUUUCCUCCUUUUCCCAGGCGGAGGCGAGCAGGCUAGGCUAGGGGCUUUGGCAAGGGGCUCCCUCCGUCUGCUGGCCAAAGGCGGACCCCUGGCCCGCCGGCAUUUGCUGCACACGGCAGGCGUGCGGGCCCCCAGGCCGGCCCCGCUGUCGCCUCCCGUCACAGCCGUCUGCUGGGGAGCCAGACGCGGAUAUAAAUAACAGCGAGGCCAGGCCGGAUGAAGUCAGACUUUGGGACAAGAGAAGUAUCUGCCCAGGCCUCCUGUGUGCUGCUCAGAUUCAGUGGAAGCCUCAGUCCCUUCAUCUGCAAAACGGAGAUGAUCACACUUCCCUCCUUCGCCUCCCGCCUGGACUGUGGGUCCACGUCAUUAUGCUCAUUUUACCUUCCAGCAGGUGAGAAUUGGUGUCCUUUUACAGUUGAGGAAACCAGGAGGUGGAGUAAACUCUUCCAGGUAGGGUGACCCAACUGUCCUGGUUUGCCCUGAACGGAGGGGUUUCCUGGGACACAGCACUUUCAUUGGGAAAACUGGGAGUCACCAUACCUAUAGGACACACACCUCACAGGUUAUGUUAUCUGAGUCCAAAGUCUGGCAGUCGGUCCAGACUGUAUUUCCCUCUAUCAAUAUUUGCUAAAUGAAUGAAUACAUCCCUCCCCACAACUGUCCUUUGCUGGGCACCUUGGCUCAUAUAUCCGGACGUAGUUUGGACUCUGCCAAAGUGAGCAUGGUCUCUGGGUUCAGCUGCUGAGUUCCUAGAACCCCCUCAGGCCCUCCCUGCUUCAUCUUGGCCUGAGGGAUUUCCCAUGGGCUUACUCAUUGGACUCUUACCCUUUUUCCCACAGGGGUGGGGAGCUACUUGCUCCUAAUAUCAGCUUGUGUUCCUUUGCUUCUUAAAGCUCAGUUUUCUCACAUAUAAAAUGAGGGUAAUAGGGCCCCUUGGGUGGCUCAGUCAGUUAAGCUCCCAACUUCAGCUUAGGUCAUGAUCUAGAAGUUCGUGAGUUCGAGCCCCGCGUUGGGCUCUGCGUUGACAGCUCAGAGCGUGGAGCCUGCUUCAGAUUCUGUGUGUGUGUGUCUCUCUCUCUCCUCCUCCCGGGCUCGCGCUCUUUCUCUCUCAAAAAUAGAUAAGCAUUAAAAAAUAAAAAACUAAAAUGAGGGUGAUAAAACCUGCCUUCAGGGUUGCUGCAGGGUUCGGGAGAAAUGUAGGUAAAGUUCCUGGCACACAGGAAGCCCUCAAUACAUAAAGGUUGUUAUUGUAGCUUAUUAAUGUAAUUAUAGCCAACUAUUCCAUCAAGUGCUUCUCCGUGAGGCAUGAGGGUCACCAUCCUAAAUGCUCUCCCUGCGUUCCAACCCAAAGAAGUAAGUGCCAUUUUUUCAGGUGAAAAUCUGAGUCUCAGAGAGGUGGUAACUGCCUGAGGUCACAGCAGGAAGGGGCAGGGCCAGCAUUCCGCAGGGUUCUGUACUUAGGUAGGACUUAGCUCAAGUGAUGGCAGCUGGGAAUGGUGUGCGGAAACUAAGGCACGCGGUGGGGAAGGAUGGCUGAGGUCCUCAACAGGGCACUGGGCCCCCGUGUCUCUCUCACAGACAAGCUGGUCCUCUCCUUGCCCAAGGUGGCAGGUCAGGUUGUAUGAAGAAGCCCUUUGCUCAGGCCAGGCUGUUCCCCACCCCCAGUCGGCCGGCUGCCCGUACCCUCUGCCAGCUACUGUUCCCUGUCGGCCAGCCAAGUUGUGGAGCAGUCCAGGACAUUGUGUCCAGAGAGAGGGCCAAGCAGGCCCCCCUACCGGUGGCUGAUGACCUCCCGCCCUGCCCCUCUGGGCCUCAGGCCAACCUGGCCUGUCCUCCGCCCUGGCAGAAGCAAGAGGCCAGAGCUGUCCUCCCAAAGGCCAGGACAGUGCCUCACCUCCUCCCGCCACCCCGCGAGCCCUGCUUGAGAGGGGUGCCCCCUGUUGCAACCCACGCCCUCUCUCCAAAAAGCAACCCUAAAGCCAGAGGGGUGGGCCCUCCAGGGUGUCUAUCAGGAGAAGCCAGCUGGGCUCCUGAGAAACCUGUUUUCCUACCGUUGGCAUUUCUCCUCUGCCUGUCUCCAAAUCCGGCUGAGCCAACGCAAGAGGCCCCCUUGGGCAGGGCGCUGACUGUGGGGGGGCUCAACCCUGUUUCCACACUUUAUGGCUAAGAGAGCUGAGCUGCAGAGAGAGGCCUGGAUUCUGGCAAAGCCGCACAACCCAGCUGAGGCUGCGCCAUGCGGAGCAGGAAGGGGCUGGAGGGCAGUGACUGGGAGGGGCAGUCUCCGAGGGGCGGGGGCGCACAAGAGACAAGAGGGACCCCUCCAGUCUUAGUUUAACUGCCGUCUGCUCAGAGCCCCCUUCUCUCACUUCCCCCCACCUAGUGUUCCUGCCUUGUCGCCCGUUCUGUUUCCCUGAGGAUAUUUCUCCACAUGGCUUCUGUUUGUUUAUCAGGUUUAUUGUGGGUCUUGCCCACCAGAACGUGAGCCUUGGUGAGGGCAGGGACUGUGUUGUCCCUGCUGCAUCUCCAGUGCCAAGAACACAGGGUUUUGCACACAGUAGGUCAAUAUAUGUUUGUGGAGCAAGCAAUUGAAUAUUGGCUGUGCCUUUUAGUCACCAGAAGCAAGAUAAUGGACAUAUCCAUCACCCCCAAGAGUUUUCUUGUUGCCGUUUUUAAUCCCUUUCUCCUGUCUCUUUCCCUCUUCCUCUCCUGUCUCAGGCAACCACUAAUCUGCUUUCUGUCACUACAUAAUUAGGUUCGCAUUUUGUAGAAUUUUCUACAAAUGGAUUCAAACAAUAUGUGGGUUUCUUUUUUUGGAUCUUUCACCCAUUUUAAUAGUUUGAGGUUCAUUCAUGUCGUUGCAUGCAUCAGAAGUUCAUUUCUUGGGGCGCCUGGAUGGCUCAGUCGGUUAAGCGUCCGACCCUUGGUUUUGGCUCAGGUCAUGAUCUCGUGGUUUUGUGAGUUCGAACCCCGCAUUUGUCUCUGCUGGCAUGCGGAGCCUGCUUGGGAUUCUCUCUACCUCUCUGCCUGCCCCUUCCCCACUCAUGCUAUCUCUGUCUCUCUCAAAAAUAACGAAAAAC